rnacentral:rRNA from 1 species
ACGCACCACUGGUGUACAGGUUGUCAUGCCAAUGGCAUCGCCUGGUAGCUAAGUGCGGAAGAGAUAACCGCUGAAAGCAUCUAAGCGGGAAACUUGCCUCAAGAUAAGUCUUCCCUGACAGUCAUGUCCUAUAAGGGGUGUUCGAGACGAGGACGUAGAUAGGCUGGGGGUGUAAGCGUAGCGAUACGUUGAGCUAACUAGUACUAAUGACCCGAGAG